rnacentral:rRNA from 1 species
UACGUAGGGCGCAAGCGUUGUCCGGAAUUAUUGGGCGUAAAGAGCUCGUAGGCGGUUCGUCGCGUCGGCUGUGAAAACCCGGAGCUCAACUCCGGGCCUGCAGUCGAUACGGGCGGACUGGAGUUCGGCAGGGGAGACUGGAAUUCCUGGUGUAGCGGUGAAAUGCGCAGAUAUCAGGAGGAACACCGGUGGCGAAGGCGGGUCUCUGGGCCGAUACUGACGCUGAGGAGCGAAAGCGUGGGGAGCGAACAGG